UACGUAGGGGGCUAGCGUUGUCCGGAUUUAUUGGGCGUAAAGAGCUUGUAGGCGGUUUGUCGCGUCUGCCGUGAAAAUUCGAGGCUCAACCUCGAACUUGCGGUGGGUACGGGCAGACUAGAGUGUGGUAGGGGAGACUGGAAUUCCUGGUGUAGCGGUGAAAUGCGCAGAUAUCAGGAGGAACACCGGUGGCGAAGGCGGUUCUCUGGGCAUGUCCUGACGCUGAGGAGCGAAAGUGUGGGGAGCGAACAGG
rnacentral:rRNA from 1 species